CUGUGAGUUACCGAAUCUCACGCCGGUCACCUGCUGCACCAUCUGGCGGAAGUUGGCAGGGUCCGCGGUGAUGAAGGUCGUCUGAGACCGCUUCGACGCGCGAGACUUCCGCUUGGUGAUCUUUCCACCGACCGCCCCAGGAAUCGCGGUCCGGCGCUUCGGCGCAGUCUCGUGGUCCGAUCCCGAAACGCCGGAAACGCUGGGGGUCUGAGCCGUCUCGGGCUUAAGAAGAUCGUUCAGAAAGGGAGAGAUCGUGUCGCAUGCGACGUUGUCGGGGUGGUUUGAAAUAGAUUUCUGAAGAGCCUUGGUCAGAGUUUCGGUGUCGCGAGCAAAUGCCUCUGAUAUCCAGGAGUCAGCGAAAGUGUGACGAAACACCCAGGGAUCAACACUAGCCAAAUUGUCCGAUGACGCCAUUCUCACCUUAGUACUCAGCUCUUCCUUUUACAGAGACCGUGCGCAGACUGAAAAGGAAAGCACAAUUCGAAUGCUAGAGUCCUCAACGCAUUUUCAAAACCUAGAUUAUCCAAAUUUUAUACUUAAUACUCCAAAAUUAUUCUCCAAAACCCAAAAACCACACCAAGAUACGAAAUUGCCUAAAAAUUGAAGUGCGGAUGAAAAGCGAGCGAAGAAAUAGGGUUAGAUAUUGGUGGAAAUAGGGUUAGAUAUUGGUGAAAUCGCAAGUAAUAGUGGAUUUUCGCCGGAAAAAACAGAGGUCCGGCGAGGGAUUAAGGCAGAGCAAGGGGGAUAAGGCGGGGAAGAAGGAAUGAGGAAAUGGGAGUGAGCAGAUGGAUAGAGGUGGAGAAUAAAUAGGG
rnacentral:lncRNA from 1 species